rnacentral:rRNA from 1 species
GACGAACGCUGGCGGCGUGCUUAACACAUGCAAGUCGAACGGAAAGGCCCUGCUUUUGUGGGGUGCUCGAGUGGCGAACGGGUGUGUAACACGUGAGUCACCUGCCCUUGACUUUGGGAUAACUUCAGGAAACUGGGGCUAAUACCGGAUAGGAGCUCCUGCUGCAUGGUGGGGGUUGGAAAGUUUCGGCGGUUGGGGAUGGACUCGCGGCUUAUCAGCUUGUUGGUGGGGUAGUGGCUUACCAAGGCUUUGACGGGUAGCCGGCCUGAGAGGGUGACCGGCCACAUUGGGACUGAGAUACGGCCCAGACUCCUACGGGAGGCAGCAGUGGGGAAUAUUGCACAAUGGGCGGAAGCCUGAUGCAGCAACGCCGCGUGCGGGAUGACGGCCUUCGGGUUGUAAACCGCUUUCGCCUGUGACGAAGCGUGAGUGACGGUAAUGGGUAAAGAAGCACCGGCUAACUACGUG